rnacentral:tRNA from 1 species
GGCAUCGUGGCCGAAUGGUUAGGCAGAGGAUUGCAAAUCCUUCUAUCCCAGUUCGAUUCUGGGCGAUGCCUCCA